rnacentral:rRNA from 1 species
AAUCCCAUCCCCGGUAGAGCGAAUGAUUAGAGCUUCUCGGAGGCCGCAACGGUCUCGACCUAUUCUCAAACUCCGAACGGGUGAGACCGGGGGCUUUCCCGGCGGACGAAGCCCGGCGUCGCCCCCUCGGGGCGACCGCGCGACACCGAACGGAUGAGAAGCUGAGCCCAGUGGGGUCCGUUCUGGUAAGCAGGACUGACGAUGCGGGGUGAACCGAACGCCGGUUAAGGCGCCUAAAUCGCUACCGAAAUUACAGACACCCGUUCAAUGGUCGGACGCCGGCGUGCGACAGCAGGACGGUGGCCAUGGAAGUGGCAUCCGCUAAGGAGUGUGUAACGACUCACUGCCGAUGCCGGUGGUUCCGAAAUGUCUGGCGCUAGGAGUAGCGUGCCGAUACCCCGGCCGUCAGCGGUAUACAGUACGGGCGACGUCGCCGCUCGAGCCUCCUCGGCGCCCGGUCAAAAGGAAGGGGAGAGAAGGACGGAGGGGGGGGCGAACGCGCCUCGGGUAGACCCUGACGAGUAGGAGGGCGCGGCGGUGAGCGCAGAAGGGUUCAGGGCGCGAGCCCGCCCGGAGCCGCCGUCGGCGCAGAUCUUGGUGGUAGUAGCAAAUACUCUGGAGAGGUCCUGGAGGACUGACGCGGAGAAGGGUUUCUUGUCAAAACAGCCGUUGCACAAGUGUUAGUCGAUCCUAAGCCGCGGGCGAAGGCCCUACAACGCGGACCCCACGACGAGGAAAGCGGGACGACGCUUGGCCGUCCUGGCCCGUCCGUCGGAACGAGGGCUCCGGCGCGGCACAACCGUCCCCCGGCGACCGUUACCCUAGCGACCUGCCCAGCCCGCGACGCUCAGGCAGCGCGGCGGAGGGCGGUCCCGGAGGGCGCCUCGCGUCGACGUCCCUCCGCUUCAUCACACCGCGGCGGGGGGCUGUCGUCGUCGUCGACCGGUCGGACCCGCGGCCGGGGGCGGCCGUGCGAGGGCCCGACGGACGGGUCGGCGCCGAGCGCGCGAACCCAUUCCGAAUCGCGAACACCGGUCCGACAUGGCGAAAGGGAACCCGGUCAAGAUUCCGGGACCCGGCGAGUAGGAAACGUUCGCCUGCCAGGUCCGUACGACUCAUCGGAGCGAUCCGACAACCAGCCCGGAGAAGCCGGCGGAGGACCCGUGGAGAGUUGUCUUUUCUGUUGAAGCGACCGAGCAUCCCUGGAACGCGUAUGGCGCGGAGAUAGGGGCGGUGGUCGCGAGGAGCACCGGUCGUCGGCGGUGUACGGUCUCCUCCCUCGGACCGUGAAAAUCCCGGCUGAGGUCCCUGGUUCGGUGUUUCCGAAGCCGGUUCGUACCGAGUAAUCCGCACAGUCUCCUAGGUAACAGCCUCUGGUCACGUGGAACAAUGCAGGUAAGGGAACUCGGCAAACUCGAUCCGUAACUUCGGGACAAGGAUUGGCUCUGAGGAUCGAGGCCGGUCUGGUCGGGUGCCGCAGCGCUCUCUGCGCGGGCGGGCAAUCGGUCCUCCGGCCGAUGACCGCUCGUCGGGACCGCGGCCGCGUCACCCCCGACGCCGGUCGGACCCCCGUCAGGGCUGGCAAUCGCCGGGACUUCCCGUCCCGGCGACCCCGCCGGCGUUAGUCGCGCAGAAGGGGCCGACCAACCCCGGGGGUCAGCGGGGCGGCCAGCCCGGGGCGACCCGGGAUCGCGCUGCUCCCGUCCCCCAAACGCUCCGAGGCGCAGCCCGCGAGGGCGGCGCCCGGGCAAUGAGCGACCCGCGCCAACAAACCCUGGUCGUGCUCAGAACUGUUCUCGGACCCGGGAAUCCGACUGUUUAAUUAAAACAGAGCAUCGUGAAGGCCGCACAUUACCGGCGUAGACGCGAUGUGAUUUCUGCCCAGUGCUCUGAAUGUCAACGUGAAGAGAUUCAAGCAAGCGCGGGUAACGGCAGGAGUAACUAUGACUCUUUUAAGGUAGCCAAAUGCCUCGUCAUCCAAUUAGUGACGCGCAUGAAUGGAUCAACGAGAUUCCCUCUGUCCCUAUCUGCGUUUCAGCGAAACCCCAGCCAAGGGAACGGGCUUGGAACACUAUCAGCGGGGAAAGAAGACCCUGUUGAGCUUGACUCUAGUCCGGUGCUGUACGGAGACAUGCGAGGCGUAGAAUAAGUGGGAGGUCCCGAUCCCGAACGCGGCCGCUAACCGCGGUCCGUUCGCGGGAUCAACGAUGAAAUACCACUACUCCCAUAGCCUCCGCACUACUUAUCGGUGAAGCGGUACGCGCUCGCACCGUGUCCGUUCCCGCGCGUCGUGCCUUCAUCGGCCGCGCCGGGGCGCCGGUGAUCAAAAUCGAGCGUCUGUUUCCUAUUGGCGUCAAGCGGCGCUGCAGCGGCCGACCCCCGGUCAAGGACGCGCCCCCCCCCCCCCCCCCAGCUUAGUUGCCGUUCGGCGGUUACCGGCGUCCCGUCGGGGUCGGCGGCCCUAAGCCGCGAUCCGGGCCGAGGACAGCGCCAGGCGGGGAGUUUUGACUGGGGCGGUACAUCUGUCAAAGGAUAACGCAGGUGUCCUAAGGCCGGCUCACCGAGGACGGAAACCUCGAGUCGAGCAAAUGGGCAAAAGCCGGCUUGAUACCGACGUUCAGUAAGCGCGGGUACCGCAAGCGCGCGGCCAGUCGAUCCUCUCCGCCGGAGAGGUUCCGGCGAGAGGUGUCAGAAAAGUUACACACAGGGAUAACUGGCUUGUGGCGGCCAAGCGUUCAUAGCGACGUCGCUUUUUGAUCCUUCGAUGUCGGCUCUUCCUAUCAUAGCGUCGGACAACGCCCCGAGCGUGCGAUUGUUCACCGACCGACAGGGAACGUGAGCUGGGUUUAGACCGUCGUGAGACAGGUUAGUUUUACCCUACUGAUGACGUCGUCUUCGCGACGGUAUGGCACACGAGUACGAGAGGAACGGGUGCCCCGGACCUCUGGACCGGCACUCGCCCGAUCGGACGAUGGUGCACGACUACGUCCGGAGGGCCCACUCUGACAGCGUCUCUGAAAAGCGGGACCCUUACCGAGUCUCGGAACGCGAGGACGGGUUCCCCGAGAGGGGGCGUCCAUUUGACAGCGGAAAGCGAGGACAGUACCUAACACGUACGGGCGAGAGAGACGACGGUUCACCCAGGGCGGGGUUCCGCCGGGGUCGUCGGGCGUCCUCGGGCGCUCGCUCUGAUCCCGGUCCCGUCCGCCGUCGCUGCACGGACAGGCAACGAGACUCGGCGCCCGCCCUCGGGCGGGGCCGAUUCCCGGCGCGGGUCUCCCGG